ACUCACCAAGGUGAUCUGAUGGAGUGCACUUCGCACGAUUCCAAAGAAGGGAGAAGACAGAGGAGAAUGCCAGAUGAAGACAGAAACAGAGAUUGAAGUUAUGUGGCCAUAAUUCAAGGAUUGCUGGCAACACCAGAAGCCAAGAGAAAGAUGAGGAAGAAUUCUCCCCUAGACCUUUCAGAAGGAGCGUGGCCCAGCCAACACCCUGACUUCAGACUUCUGGCCUCCAGAACUCAGCCUCCUGGCCGGGGAUAGCCAAUAGCCCCAGCCCACUGAAAGCCUGGUGAGCAGAAAGGGAAGAGAAACAAGGGUGUUCAUUCACUGGUAGGAUGUGUUUCCUGAACGGCUCCUGCUCCUGCUGGACAAGCCCACAGAGGGCCCAGCUUCCAACAGGGCUCAAGCAAUCCUCCUGCCUCAGCCUCCUAAAGUGCAGAAAUUACAGGCAUGAGCCACCACAUCUGGACCCAGCCUCUACUUGUUACUGCAAUAUGCAAUUUGGAGCGACUUAACUGCUCACGAGGAAAUGUCUCGUGUCACACGGCAUUUUAAGUAGAUACUUAGAGCACUUGAGCUCACCACAGUAGCAACAGGAGGUGGUUGUGAAAGAUUCCAGUAGUGAGGUAUGUGCUAACAUUAGUUUUAUGCAGUUGUGAUUGAAUACUGCAUCUUUACAUUUACGUUUCUCUCAACUGUGAAUGCUGCCAUGUGUGGUCUCUGUUUCUGUAUAAAAGUUUUAAUAAAUUUACCAGCCUGGCCAA